rnacentral:rRNA from 1 species
AUUGAACGCUGGCGGAAUGCUUUACACAUGUAAGUCGAACGGCAGCACGGACUUCGGUCUGGUGGCGAGUGGCGAACGGGUGAGUAAUGUAUCGGAACGUGCCCAGUCGUGGGGGAUAACGUAGUGAAAAUUACGCUAAUACCGCAUACGAUCUAUGGAUGAAAGCGGGGGAUCGCAAGACCUCGCGCGAUUGGAGCGGCCGAUAUCAGAUUAGGUAGUUGGUGGGGUAAAGGCUCACCAAGCCAACGAUCUGUAGCUGGUCUGAGAGGACGACCAGCCACACUGGAACUGAGACACGGUCCAGACUCCUACGGGAGGCAGCAGUGGGGAAUUUUGGACAAUGGGCGAAAGCCUGAUCCAGCCAUUCCGCGUGCAGGAUGAAGGCCCUCGGGUUGUAAACUGCUUUUGUACAGAACGAAAAGGUUUCUACUAAUACUAGGAGCUCAUGACGGUACUGUAAGAAUAAGCACCGGCUAACUACGUGCCAGCCGCCGCAGUAA